GGUUAAACAUAAUGGAGGAGAAGAAGGGGUUCUCCGGCAGAAAACCGCCGCUCCAUCCCCGUGUCGGCUCAGCUCGGCAAUGGAUUUCCGAUCAACUUCGCUGUACUAAGAAGUAUAGGGUUGUAAAGAGCAGCGGUGAGGCGUUUGCGAUUAUGGUAAAGAGAGAGCACAGGGAAAUUGGUCAUAUAAAUAUACUUUAGAUAUCGCGGAAUUUGUUGCAAACAAGCUUCGAUCUACGCCGGCUCAUAAGCGGCGCCAAUUUGACGAUCAUCCUUUUCCCCUCCCAGAGGAUCUCAGUGUAUUACAUUGCAUUCGCAUUCUCGCUCCAACUUACCUGCAAAUUCAAGCACCGCUACUGGUGGCCUCAUCAUUUUACUCAUGAACUCGUUCAGAUUGAAGAAUUGUGAGGAUGCCUAAUGCUAAAUUUGGCAUGGUACAGACAACGGUGCAGCAGACGAACAAAACAUACAAGUAUUCUAGGUUGUUCAUCUUAGAGCCUUGGCUGGUUAUUAUACAAGGUCCAAUCUCACAUUGAACAAGCGGUUAGCCUCGUCCUUGUGUAACGAUUGAAUUGUGCACUUAGAUGCUGUAUCUUAUUCCAUUUAUUGUUGUUUUGUGAUUCUAUGGCAAAGAUGAUUUAUGUAAGUAUGCUCUUAAAGCGAAGAAUGAUGGGGUCCUGCCCAGACAUGCGCACUUAAUAAAGCCGAGGGUCGAAAGGCAAUUUUUA